CAUGUUGCUUAAUUCGAUGCAACGCGAAGAACCUUACCUGUCUUGACAUAUCUAAAAUCCUGCAGAGAUGCGGGAGUGCCUUCGGGAAUUAGAAUACAGGUGCUGCAUGGCUGUCGUCAGCUCGUGUCGUGAGAUGUUGGGUUAAGUCCCGCAACGAGCGCAACCCUUGUCCUUAGUUACCAUCGGGUUAAGCCGGGAACUCUAGGGAUACUGCCAGUGACAAACUGGAGGAAGGCGGGGACGACGUCAAGUCAUCAUGGCCCU
rnacentral:rRNA from 1 species